rnacentral:lncRNA from 1 species
AAAUAGACGAGAUAGGAGAUUUUAAUUUAAUUUUUUUUUAAUCAUAAUUUCAUAACUGAUUGUUCCUCGUAACAACAUUUUUCUCCGCCUCAAAUGAGGAAAAUUAAAGAGAUACAAAAGAAAUGGAUUAACUUAGCGAAAGAACAGCCGAAAAAAGGAUUAUAUCCGUAGAAAUUUUGAAAAUCUUUUGUGUUUGUUACCUACACAAUAUUUAUUUGAUGUCUGUGCAACUCUAAAUUUAUAGUGUAUAUAUGUAAGAGCCCGAAUUUUUUUUAUAAAUAAAAUAGAAUUUUCUUUAUUUAUUAUUUUGAAAUAGUAAGGGUUGAUUAAUGUGGUUAGUUAUGGGUAAAAUGCACAAAUAUUUUAAAUAAGCAGGUGGUUAUAAAAUAUUCAUUAUUGUCGGGGAAUAUUCGUUUGGUUGUGGAAUAUUCGUACUGUCGAGGAAUAUUCGUACGACGGCGCAGCCAUGUGUGGGUCCCAUAACGGAAAGCGAUUGGAGGAAGAAAACGACAAAAAUAAGUUGUUUAAAAUAACGGCGUAGUUGUUUCAGUUUACACUGUUGGAAUACCCGGUGGUUAAAACACAGUAAUACGCGUUGUUGCACAGUAGCACACGGUAUUGCACCAAUUAUUGAUUCUUACGUAAGAAGACACUACUCAAUAAUGGUUACAGUAAUUACUAUUCAGUAUUUUAUUUUAUUGAUUCAAUAAUUGCUGCGUUGAUAUUUUAUAUUGCUGUUGUUUCAAUAAUUGUCAUUACACAGUAUUUU